UUUUAGUGGCGGACGGGUGAGUAACGCGUGGGUAACCUGCCUCACACUGGGGGAUAACACUUAGAAAUAGGUGCUAAUACCACAUAAGCGCACGGGACUGCAUGGUCUUGUGUGAAAAACUCCGGUGGUGUGAGAUGGACCCGCGUCUGAUUAGCUGGUUGGCGGGGUAACGGCCCACCAAGGCGACGAUCAGUAGCCGGCCUGAGAGGGUGGACGGCCACAUUGGGACUGAGACACGGCCCAAACUCCUACGGAAGGCAGCAG
rnacentral:rRNA from 1 species